AGCUCCGAGGUGUUAUACAUAUCAGAUUGCAAAUCUGAGGUAGCAGGUUAACGCCUGCCGGGGCUU
rnacentral:tRNA from 1 species